ensembl:lncRNA
CGGUCACUGACUGUAGACCAGAGAAGCAGCGACUCCGUGAACGGACGACAUGGCAGCGUUGAGUCUGACACAUUGAGGAGAGGACUAAACCUGGCUCACAAAGCAGGGUCAGAGGAAAAGCCUUCGACAGCCACUUCAGUCCCCAAAACAAACCGUCCACUGCAAGCUGGCAGCUCUGUGGAUGGAGAUGCCCUCUCUGUUGGGUUGACCAGUCUAAUGGGCCGUGCAAGGACUAAAGAGCAUCGCUCUCGCUUGAGAGCUGCCGAACGCAAAGAACCUCAAGAGGAAAGCAAAGAAAGGAUUGGUGAAACUGAGACCCCCUCAGAAGAACCCCAACCAUCCACCCCUGCAACCAGUCCACCUCCUAGACUUGACCCUUUUGCCCCUCCUGUUGGCUUUUUACCUUCUAAGCCAAAUCCUCUUACUCCUCCUGCUGGAUUCCUUCCAGUCACCAAGCCUGAUCCAUUGGCUCCACCUGCUGGUUUCAUUCCAGCUCCUAAACCAAAUCCUUCUGCUCAACCUACACCCAAACCUGAUCCUCUGGCACCACCGGCGGGAUUCAUACCAGCUCCUAAACCAAACCCUUCCACUCAACUUACACCCAAACCUAAUCCUCUGGCACCGCCGGUAGGAUUCGUUCCCAUACCAAAGCGAGACCCUUUUGCCCCGGUGGCAGGAUUUAUCCCCAAGCCUAAAGUUGACCCAUUAGCACCCCCUGCAGGCUUUAUUCCUGUACCACGGUCCAUUGCUGUACAAAAGCCAGAGGUGAAGGAGGUGUCAAAACCUUCUGCAGCUCCUGCUGGAAAACUUCCAUCCCAGAUUUCCACUAUCGCCAACCAACAGGUGUGUCCCACCACUUCCAAGAUGUUUGUGUAAAACAAUGGUGUUCAGCUGUGAAAGUUGUGUAUUGUCUGAAAGGAGAUAUGUGGUUAGUUAAAUGUAUUCUGCAUUAUUGAUGUUUAUGUCUCAUUGCUUAUUUCCAGAUUUGAUUGGUGUAACUGUAAGCAUUUAUACUAUUGUGUCAGGCUUGGUCUUGUAUUGGUUUCAAUGUUAGCAUCAGGUGGUUUGAUAAUAUUUACACUACUGAUCCUGGUCAGGACCACUUAGGCUCUUCACUGAUCCUUUAUGAUUCCAUUUAUAGGGAUCUCCAGUAAUGCCCACCCAAGGGAAUCAGGUGCAGAAACACCUCCCUUAACCUCUC